rnacentral:misc_RNA from 1 species
AAGACAAAUUGGUACCAGCAGU